rnacentral:lncRNA from 1 species
AUGCAGGACAGUCUCUCCAGGGCUGAGGGCUCUGGUCCACUCCUAGCAGGAAGGAAAUGGGAAGGUGUUUCCUUUUCCUCCAACACCUUUGAGGCUGUAGAAGAAACCCUAGGCUUGGUCACACCUGCCCUUGUGACAUCAUGGGCAUCUCUUCCUAUAUCAGCUGUCCUGCUCCUGCCCAGCUUACAGGAGCAGCAAGCAGAAGGGGAUGAUCACCUAAGACCUGCGCCCCUCCAUUAUGGGAAAUAGCUGUGCCCCAGAAGUAGAAGUAAUACAGGUAGAACAGAAAAGAACACAACCGCAGGUAGGUGGGUCCAAGGAGCAUAAAAGAACUGCACGCUUUAAGGUCACUAAAAUGGAGGAGCCAUCUCUGGUCUCACAAGGGUUGGCUGAGCAUUGCUUUGCAUCUACCUAAUCCUCUCCCUCUCCUGAGUGAACUGUUCACAGCACGUACAGCAGUGAGGCCCAGCACAGCAGGUGGUAGAAAGACAAGUAAGGGCUGGCCUGGGUCUGCAGGGGGAUGGAGUGACUAGACGUAGGCACAGAUGUCAGUGGAAGCAAAGAGAG